rnacentral:rRNA from 1 species
AUAUACCGGUUCUCGUUAGAUCACCGAAGUCAAGCAUCAUUGGGCGCGGUCAGUACUUGGGUGGGUGACCACCUGGGAACACCGCGUGCCGUU